rnacentral:rRNA from 1 species
GUGAAAUUGUUGAAAGGGAAACACUUGGAACUAGUCCAGGCCCGCAGUGAGUCAGCCGGCUGUCGCGUUCGCGUGGCAGGCCCGGAUCAAGCAAUUGACCGAGGCCUGUUGUCCGAGCGUGGCCGCCUGUGCAUCUUACUGUGGGCAAGUCAACAUCAGUCUGGUGGGGUGGAGAAAGGCGAUCGGAAGUUCCGCAAGCAGUCCUAGAUUGCAGGUGGAAGCCGGUCGUCGAUGCGCUCCGGCAGACUGAGGAGUGCACUGGCCGUUUGUCUGCAUGCGAUUGUUGCGUCCGUCGGGCGGAAACAGUCUGACUGCUCCCGCCGUGCGGGCGCUUCAAGCGCAGCCGGCUUAGCGGCGACAGUAUGGAUGUUGACGUAAUGGUUUCAAAUGACCCGUCUUGAAACACGGACCAAGGAGUCUAACAUGGAUGCGAGUAUUUGGGUGGAAUAAACCCAUAUGCGCAAUGAAAGUGAACGUGUGGGAUUUCCGUGGAAACACGGAAUGCACCAUUGACCGAUCUUGUCUAGCCUCGGCUUGAUAGAUUUGAGUAAGAGCAUGCAUGCUGGGACCCGAAGGAUGGUGAACUAUGCCUGAAUAGGGUGAAGUCAGACGAAAGUCUGAUGGAGGCUCGUAGCGAUUCUGACGUGCAAAUCGAUCGUCAAAUUUGGGUAUAGGGGCGAAAGACUAAUCGAACCAUCUAGUAGCUGGUUC